rnacentral:rRNA from 1 species
AUUGAACGCUGGCGGAAUGCUUUACACAUGCAAGUCGAGCGGCAGCACGGACUUCGGUCUGGUGGCGAGUGGCGAACGGGUGAGUAAUGUAUCGGAACGUGCCCAGUCGUGGGGGAUAACGUAGUGAAAAUUACGCUAAUACCGCAUACGAUCUAUGGAUGAAAGCGGGGGAUCGCAAGACCUCGCGCGAUUGGAGCGGCCGAUAUCAGAUUAGGUAGUUGGUGGGGUAAAGGCCCACCAAGCCAACGAUCUGUAGCUGGUCUGAGAGGACGACCAGCCACACUGGAACUGAGACACGGUCCAGACUCCUACGGGAGGCAGCAGUGGGGAAUUUUGGACAAUGGGCGAAAGCCUGAUCCAGCCAUUCCGCGUGCAGGAUGAAGGCCCUCGGGUUGUGAACUGCUUUUGUACAGAACGAAAAGGUUUCUACUAAUACUAGGAGCUCAUGACGGUACUGUAAGAAUAGGCACCGGCUAACUACGUGCCAGCCGCCGCCGUAA